ensembl:snRNA U5 U5 spliceosomal RNA
AUACUCUGUUUUCUCUUCAGAUCAUAUAAAUCUUUUGCCUUUUACUAUAUAUUUCCAUAGAAACAAUUCCAAGUUUUUCAACUAACUUUUGAGGCCUUGUUUAGGCAGGGCU